rfam:Pseudomonas aeruginosa PAO1, complete genome.
AGCCGGGGCUUUGUCUUGACGGUGUACAAGAACCUCUUUACUAUUUUGUACCCCGAAAAUUGGCAGGGCGCACGCUCUGUCAUUUCGUUUGUGUGUCGUAAGACAAUCAGUGGAGCUAUAGA